AGCGCGAACGAGCUCUGGAGAGACAGUGGCUGCGAGAAUAUUGAAAUUUGUGAAUAUCUUCUGGCUCCUAAUUUUGCACCCCUGGCAAUUAUGCAGAAGAUGAUCAGAAAUGGAAAAAGAGCAGGAGGGUACCCAGGGCUUUGUGAAUAGGUAUUAACAACUGGUUUGUUGUUA
rnacentral:lncRNA from 1 species